AGUGAACGCUGGCGGUAGGCCUAACACAUGCAAGUCGAACGGCAGCACAGUAAGAGCUUGCUCUUACGGGUGGCGAGUGGCGGACGGGUGAGGAAUACAUCGGAAUCUACUUUUUCGUGGGGGAUAACGUAGGGAAACUUACGCUAAUACCGCAUGCGAUCUACGGGUGAAAGCAGGGGAUCUUCGGACCUUGCGCGAUUGAAUGAGCCGAUGUCGGAUUAGCUAGUUGGCGGGGUAAAGGCCCACCAAGGCGACGAUCCGUAGCUGGUCUGAGAGGAUGAUCAGCCACACUGGAACUGGAACACGGUCAAGACUCCUGAGGUAGGCAGCAGUGGGGAAUAUUGGACAAUGGGCGCAAGCCUGAUCCAGCCAUACCGCGUGGGUGAAGAAGGCCUUCGGGGUGUAAAGCCCUUUUGUUGGGAAAGAAAAGCAGCAGGUUAAUACCCCGCUGUUCUGACGGUACCCAAAGAAUAAGCACCGGCUAACUUCGUG
rnacentral:rRNA from 1 species